rnacentral:rRNA from 1 species
GAGGUGAAGGAGGCUUUAAAAAUGAUGAAAGGAGGCAAGGCGAUGGGCCCUGAUUGUAUCCCCAUUGAGGUGUGGAAAGGUCUUGGGGACAUAGCGAUAGUAUGGCUAACCAAACUUUUCAACCUAAUUUUUCGGGCAAACAAGAUGCCAGAAGAAUGGAGACGGAGUAUAUUAGUACCAAUCUUCAAGAACAAGGGGGAUGUUCAAAGUUGUACUAAUUAUCGUGGAAUUAAGCUGAUGAGCCAUACAAUGAAGCUAUGGGAGAGAGUCAUUGAGCACCGCUUAAGAAGAAUGACAAGCGUGACCAAAAAUCAGUUUGGUUUCAUGCUUGGGAAGUCGACCAUGGAAGCCAUUUUCUUGGUACGACAACUUAUGGAGAGAUAUAGGGAGCAAAAGAAGGACUUGCAUAUGGUGUUCAUUGACUUGGAGAAGGCCUAUGAUAAGAUACCGCGAAAUGUCAUGUGGUGGGACUUGGAGCAACACAAAGUCCCAGCAAAGUACAUUACCUUCAUCAAGGACAUGUACGAUAAUGUUGUGACAAGUGUUCGAACAAGUGAUGUCGACACCGAUGACUUCCCGAUUAAGAUAGGACUGCAUCAGGGGUCAGCUUUGAGCCCUUAUCUUUUUGCAUUGGUGAUGGAUGAGGUCACAAGGGAUAUACAAGGAGAUAUCCCAUGGUGUAUGCUCUUUGCGGAUGAUGUGGUGCUAGUUGAUGAUAGUCGGACGGGGGUAAAUAGGAAGUUAGAGUUAUGGAGACAAACCUUGGAAUCGAAAGGGUUUAGGCUUAGUAGAACUAAAACCGAGUACAUGAUGUGCGGUUUCAGUACUACUAGGUGUGAGGAGGAGGAGGUUAGCCUUGAUGGCCAGGUGGUACCUCGGAAGAACACCUUUCGGUAUUUGGGGUCAAUGUUGCAGGAGGAUGGGGGUAUUGAUGAAGAUGUGAACCAUCGAAUCAAAGCCGGAUGGAUGAAGUGGCGCCAAGCUUCUGGCAUUCUCUGUGACAAGAGAGUGCCACAAAAGCUAAAAGGCAAGUUCUACAAGACGGCGGUUCAACCCGCAAUGUUGUAUGGCGCGGAGUGUUGGCCGACUAAAAGGCAACAUGUUCAACAGUUAGGUGUGGAGGAGAUGCGUAUGUUGAGAUGGAUGUGUGGCCACACAAGGAAGGAUCGAGUCUGGAAUGAUGAUAUACGCGAUAGAGUUGGGGUAGCACCAAUUGAGGAG